rnacentral:rRNA from 1 species
ACACAUGCAAGUCGAACGGUGAACACGGAGCUUGCUCUGUGGGAUCAGUGGCGAACGGGUGAGUAACACGUGAGCAACCUGCCCCUGACUCUGGGAUAAGCGCUGGAAACGGCGUCUAAUACUGGAUACUAGUAGCGACCGCAUGGUCAGUUACUGGAAAGAUUUAUUGGUUGGGGAUGGGCUCGCGGCCUAUCAGCUUGUUGGUGAGGUAAUGGCUCACCAAGGCGUCGACGGGUAGCCGGCCUGAGAGGGUGACCGGCCACACUGGGACUGAGACACGGCCCAGACUCCUACGGGAGGCAGCAGUGGGGAAUAUUGCACAAUGGGCGCAAGCCUGAUGCAGCAACGCCGCGUGAGGGAUGACGGCCUUCGGGUUGUAAACCUCUUUUAGCAGGGAAGAAGCGAAAGUGACGGUACCUGCAGAAAAAGCGCCGGCUAACUACGUGCCAGCAGCCGCGGUAAUACGUAGGGCGCAAGCGUUAUCCGGAAUUAUUGGGCGKAAAGAGCUCGUAGGCGGUUUGUCGCGUCUGCUGUGAAAUCCGGAGGCUCAACCUCCGGCCUGCAGUGGGUACGGGCAGACUAGAGUGCGGUAGGGGAGAUUGGAAUUCCUGGUGUAGCGGUGGAAUGCGCAGAUAUCAGGAGGAACACCGAUGGCGAAGGCAGAUCUCUGGGCCGUAACUGACGCUGAGGAGCGAAAGGGUGGGGAGCAAACAGGCUUAGAUACCCUGGUAGUCCACCCCGUAAACGUUGGGAACUAGUUGUGGGGUCCAUUCCACGGAUUCCGUGACGCAGCUAACGCAUUAAGUUCCCCGCCUGGGGGAGUACGGCCGCAAGGCUAAAACUCAAAGGAAUUGACGG